rnacentral:rRNA from 1 species
CCUACGGGAGGCAGCAGUGAGGAAUAUUGGUCAAUGGACGAGAGCCUGAACCAGCCAAGUCGCGUGAAGGAUGACUGCCCUAUGGGUUGUAAACUUCUUUUAUAUGGGAAUAAAAUGCUCUACGUGUGGGAUUUUGUAUGUACCAUAUGAAUAAGGCUCCGCUAACUCCGUGCCAGCAGCCGCGGUAAUACGGAGGAUCCGAGCGUUAUCCGGAUUUAUUGGGUUUAAAGGGUGCGUAGGUGGAUUGUUAAGUUAGUUGUGAAAGUCUGAGGCUCAACCGUAAAAUUGCAGUUGAAACUGGCAGUCUUGAGUACGGGAGAGGUAGGCGGAAUUCGUGGUGUAGCGGUGAAAUGCAUAGAUAUCACGAAGAACUCCGAUUGCGAAGGCAGCUCACUGGACCGCAACUGACACUGAUGCUCGAAAGUGUGGGGAUCAAACAGGAUUAGAUACCCUAGUAGUC